rnacentral:rRNA from 1 species
UACGUAGGGACCAAGCGUUGUUCGGAUUUACUGGGCGUAAAGGGCGCGUAGGCGGUCAGCACAAGUCAGUUGUGAAAUCUCCGGGCUUAACUCGGAAAGGUCAACUGAUACUGUGCGACUAGAGUGCGGAAGGGGCAACUGGAAUUCUCGGUGUAGCAGUGAAAUGCGUAGAUAUCGAGAGGAACACCAGUGGCGAAGGCGAGUCCCUGGACAACUCCUGACACUGAGGCACGAAAGCUAGGGGAGCAAACAGG